rnacentral:rRNA from 1 species
GACGGAGGAUGCAAGUGUUAUCCGGAAUCACUGGGCGUAAAGCGUCUGUAGGUGGUUUAAUAAGUCAACUGUUAAAUCUUGAGGCUCAACUUCAAAAUCGCAGUCGAAACUAUUAGACUAGAGUAUAGUAGGGGUAAAGGGAAUUUCCAGUGGAGCGGUGAAAUGCGUAGAGAUUGGAAAGAACACCGAUGGCGAAGGCAGGUCUCUGGGCCGAUACUGACGCUGAGGAGCGAAAGCGUGGGGAGCGAACAGG